UUUUUCCCUUGAAAGAUCCCCGAAGGGAGACCCUUACUCAAGUCUCAGGAAGUCGCGGACCCCAGACACUCGAGAGACC
rnacentral:pre_miRNA from 14 species